GGGUUGUGAGGUUAAGUGACUAAGCGUACACGGUGGAUGCCUAGGCAGUCAGAGGCGAUGAAGGGCGUGCUAAUCUGCGAAAAGCGUCGGUAAGGUGAUAUGAACCGUUACAACCUGCGAUACCCGAAUUGGGAAACCCAGUGUGUUUCGACACACUAUCAUGUCAUGAAUACAUAGUGGCAUGAGGCGAACCGGGGGAACUGAAACAUCUAAGUACCCCGAGGAAAAGAAAUCAACCGAGAUUCCCCCAGUAGCGGCGAGCGAACGGGGAGGAGCCCAGAACCUGAAUCGGCUUGUGUGUUAGUGGAAGCGUCUGGAAAGUCGCGCAGCAAAGGGUGAUAGCCCCGUACACUAAAAUGCACAGGUCGUGAGUUCAAUGAGUAGGGCGGGACACGUGACAUCCUGUCUGAAUAUGGGGGGACCAUCCUCCAAGGCUAAAUACUCCUGACUGACCGAUAGUGAACCAGUAUCGUGAGGGAAAGGCGAAAAGAACCCCGGCGAGGGGAGUGAAAUAGAACCUGAAACCGUGUACGUACAAGCCGUGGGAGCACCUUCGUGGUGUGACUGCGUACCUUUUGUAUAAUGGGUCAGCGACUUAUAUUUUGUAGCCAGGUUAACCGUAUAGGGGAGCCGUAGGGAAACCGAGUCUUAACUGGGCGAUUAGUUGCAAGGUAUAGACCCGAAACCCGGUGAUCUAGCCAUGGGCAGGUUGAAGGUUGGGUAACACUAACUGGAGGACCGAACCGACUAAUGUUGAAAAAUUAGCGGAUGACUUGUGGCUGGGGGUGAAAGGCCAAUCAAACCGGGAGAUAGCUGGUUCUCCCCGAAAGCUAUUUAGGUAGCGCCUCGUGAACUCAUCUUCGGGGGUAGAGCACUGUUUCGGCUAGGGGGCCAUCCCGGCUUACCAAACCGAUGCAAACUCCGAAUACCGAAGAAUGUUAUCACGGGAGACACACGGCGGGUGCUAACGUCCGUCGUGAAGAGGGAAACAACCC
rnacentral:rRNA from 1 species